rnacentral:rRNA from 1 species
UACGGGGGGGGGCAAGCGUUGUUCGGAAUUACUGGGCGUAAAGGGCUCGUAGGCGGCCAACUAAGUCAGACGUGAAAUCCCUCGGCUUAACCGGGGGAACUGCGUCUGAUACUGGAUGGCUUGAGGUUGGGAGAGGGAUGCGGAAUUCCAGGUGUAGCGGUGAAAUGCGUAGAUAUCUGGAGGAACACCGGUGGCGAAGGCGGCAUCCUGGACCAAUUCUGACGCUGAGGAGCGAAAGCCAGGGGGAGCAAACGGG